rnacentral:rRNA from 1 species
GACGAACGCUGGCGGCGUGCUUAACACAUGCAAGUCGAACGGUAAGGCCCUUCGGGGUACACGAGUGGCGAACGGGUGAGUAACACGUGGGUGAUCUGCCCUGCACUUCGGGAUAAGCCUGGGCAACUGGGUCUAAUACCGGAUAGGACUCCGGACUGCAUGGUCUGGGGUGGAAAGCUUUUGCGGUGUGGGAUGGGCCCGCGGCCUAUCAGCUUGUUGGUGGGGUGAUGGCCUACCAAGGCGACGACGGGUAGCCGGCCUGAGAGGGUGACCGUCCACACUGGGACUGAGAUACGGCCCAGACUCCUACGGGAGGCAGCAGUGGGGAAUAUUGCACAAUGGGCGCAAGCCUGAUGCAGCGACGCCGCGUGAGGGAUGACGGCCUUCGGGUUGUAAACCUCUUUCAGCAUCGACGAAGCGAAAGUGACGGUAGGUGCAGAAGAAGGACCGGCCAACUACGUGCCAGCAGCCGCAGUAA